GAUGAACGCUGGCGGCGUGCCUAAUACAUGCAAGUCGAGCGAACAGACGAGGAGCUUGCUCCUCUGACGUUAGCGGCGGACGGGUGAGUAACACGUGGAUAACCUACCUAUAAGACUGGGAUAACUUCGGGAAACCGGAGCUAAUACCGGAUAAUAUAUUGAACCGCAUGGUUCAAUAGUGAAAGACGGUUUUGCUGUCACUUAUAGAUGGAUCCGCGCCGCAUUAGCUAGUUGGUAAGGUAACGGCUUACCAAGGCAACGAUGCGUAACCGACCUGAGAGGAUGGUGCGGCAAAAGGGAAAUGAGACAAGGAAGGGAAAAAAACGGGAGGCAGCAGGAGGGAAUCUAUAGCAAAGAGGGGAAGAAGAAAGAAAAAGAGACGCGAGAGUGAGAAGAAAAUGCGAAAAGUAAAAAAGUGGUAAUAGGGAAGAACAAAUGAGUAAGGAACUGUGCACGACGAGGCGGUGCAGAAUAAGAAGACCACGAAUAAGAACGUG
rnacentral:rRNA from 1 species